AGUGAACGCUGGCGGUAGGCCUAACACAUGCAAGUCGAACGGCAGCACAGUAAGAGCUUGCUCUUACGGGUGGCGAGUGGCGGACGGGUGAGGAAUACAUCGGAAUCUACUUUUUCGUGGGGGAUAACGUAGGGAAACUUACGCUAAUACCGCAUACGACCUACGGGUGAAAGCAGGGGAUCUUCUGACCUUGCGCGAAUGAAUGAGCCGAUGUCGGAUUAGCUAGUUGGCGGGGUAAAGGCCCACCAAGUCGACGAUCCGUAGCUGGUCUGAGAGGAUGAUCGCCCGCCCGGGAACUGGGACACGGUCCAGACUCCUACGGGAGGCAGCAGUGGGGAAUGUUGGGCAAUGGGCGCAAGCCUGAUCCAGCCAUACCGCGUGGGUGAAGAAGGCCUUCGGGUUGUAAAGCCCUUUUGUUGGGAAAGAAAAGCAGCAGGUUAAUACCCCGCUGUUCUGACGGUACCCAAAGAAUAAGCACCGGCUAACUUCGUG
rnacentral:rRNA from 1 species